rnacentral:rRNA from 1 species
GACGAACGCUGGCGGCGUGCUUAACACAUGCAAGUCGAGCGAUGAAGUUCCUUCGGGAACGGAUUAGCGGCGGACGGGUGAGCAACACGUGGGUAACCUGCCUCAUAGAGGGGAAUAGCCUUCCGAAAGGAAGAUUAAUACCGCAUAAGAUUGUAAUGCCGCAUGGCAUAGCAAUUAAAGGAGCAAUCCGCUAUGAGAUGGACCCGCGUCGCAUUAGCUAGUUGGUGAGGUAACGGCUCACCAAGGCGACGAUGCGUAGCCGACCUGAGAAGGUGAUCGGCCACAUUGGGACUGAGACACGGCCCAGACUCCUACGGGAGGCAGCAGUGGGGAAUAUUGCACAAUGGGGGAAACCCUGAUGCAGCAACGCCGCGUGAGUGAUGACGGUCUUCGGAUUGUAAAGCUCUGUCUUCAGGGACGAUAAUGACGGUACCUGAGGAGGAAGCCACGGCUAACUACGUGCCAGCCGCCGCCGUAA